rnacentral:rRNA from 1 species
UAAUACGGAGGGUGCGAGCGUUACCCGGAUUUACUGGGCGUAAAGGGCGUGUAGGCGGUUUUCUAAGUCCGGGGCUAAAGACCAGGGCUCAACCCUGGGUUUGCCUUGGAUACUGGAAAGCUCGACGGCUGGAGGGGGCAGCGGAAUUUCCGGAGUAGCGGUGAAAUGCGCAGAUACCGGAAGGAACGCCAAUAGCGAAGGCAGCUGCCUGGACAGUACGUGACGCUGAGGCGCGAAAGCGUGGGGAGCAAACCGGAUUAGAUACCCGGGUAGUCCACGCCCUAAACGAUGAGUGCUGGGUGUCCGGCGUUUGCCGGGUGCCGAAGCUAACGCGUUAAGCACUCCGCCUGGGAAGUACGGUCGCAAGACUGAA